rnacentral:rRNA from 1 species
CCUACGUGGGGCAGCAGUGAGGAAUAUUGGUCAAUGGGCGCGAGCCUGAACCAGCCAAGUAGCGUGAAGGAUGACUGCCCUACGGGUUGUAAACUUCUUUUAUAAAGGAAUAAAGUGAGGCACGUGUGCCUUUUUGUAUGUACUUUAUGAAUAAGGAUCGGCUAACUCCGUGCCAGCAGCCGCGGUAAUACGGAGGAUCCGAGCGGUAUCCGGCUUUAUUGGGUUUAAAGGGAGCGUAGAUGGGUUGUUUAGUCAGUUGUGAAAGUUUGCGGCGCAACCGUAAAAUUGCAAUUGAUACUGGCAGCCUUGAUUACAGUUGAGGUAGGCUGAUUUCGUGGUGUAGCCG